UGGUCUCAAACUCAUGAUCUCAGUUGAUCCGCCCACCUCGGCCUCCCACAUUCAGACUGUACAAAAUCCUGAGGUGAAUGGCAAGAUGGCUGAAUAAGAACAGCUCCAGUCUGCAGCUCCCAGUGAGAUCAAUGCAGAAGGCCUUCAGUACAUCUUUAUUAAUCUGACUGCCUGGUUGCAGUUACAUUUGAGAAUAAGACUGAGAUCAAAUUCCACGUUUAGAGUGAGAAAUGACUGCAGUUGAAGACUUGGUUGCAAGAGUCUAAGAAGACACCUCAGGGAGAGAGACAGGAUCCAAAACAAGAUUGCUGGCUGAGGAAUGGGACAAGUCACCAGCUCAGAAGUCUCAGGACCAGCGACAUCAAGAGCAGGAAGUGGCCAGUGCCUCAACUUCACUCCCCUCUCCCUCCUGGAACAGGCCCUCCAUCACCGUAGAUAAUUCAUGUCACUGAAUGGAACAUAGGUGAGAAGUGGGAGAAAGAACGAAAAUCUGGAGGUUGGAGGAUAAACAAACCCACAUCCUUGUGGAUGAAGAAGGAUACCAAAAACUCAUUUUCCUGGAAGGAGCAAUUUUUGAAAUCAGCUACACUGAGGCUGCAGAUUGAGUGAAGGUCUUUUCCAUGUGAAUUUGUCCUGCAUCUGGGAUAAAGGUAUAAUGAUUACCUAAAGCAUGUUCUGUUCAUGGAAGAUCACUGGAACACAAAAGACCAAGCUCACAGCAUAUUCAAGACAUCUGCUCGUAUUCCACUGGCCAAAGAAAGUGAUGUGGCCCAGCCUAAAGUCAGGUUUUGUACUCCAGGCACUGUGCUAGGCACCAGGACUAUAAUACAACUUGUGAUCUGUAGAGGAGUCAGACAAUUAUCCAGGCAUCCCAAAGAAAUGUCAAUUGCAAGCCUGGAUCCCUUUUUCCCUGGAGGCUGUUCUGAAGAUGGCACCCUACCUGCUCACCUUUUAGUGUACCUGGGCACCCAUGCCUCCAUAUGGUGACCCUCAAAUCAUACUGUAUGAAGAGCAGCUGUUUUGUCAACUAUUUUUUAAUGAGAUUUUUUUUGCUUUGGUUUAAAAAAUAGCAUAUAUUUGCGUUAGAAAAUUAGAAAUACAGAAGAAACAGAAAUAUAAAAGAAUUACCUAUAACAUGCAAAAAUGACUAGUACAAAUGUUUUUGUUUUUUUACAGUAUGUGAACAUAUUGUAUGUUUAUAUUAAUAUCCAUAGUAUUUAUUUUUGCCUACAUGUUUUACUUAACAUAUGUAGUAAGCAUUUCCCAUGUUAGUCAAAUUAUUUGUGGACAUUAUUUUUAAUGACUAUUAAUGUUAUUACUCUACAGCUUGCCGAAUAAGUCUCCUAUUAUAUGUCAUUUUGGGUCCUAGCAACAUUUUUGUGUUUAAAUCCUUGUAGCAGUUUUGACUGAUUUCCUUAAGAUAGAGUCCAAGAAGAGAAAUAAUUUGCUUGUUUGUUUAUCAUUUGGUACUUUCUUUUAUGGUAAUGUCCUUGGGGCUGAUAAUUCAGAACCAUGAAUAGAUAUGAUUCUUGUCUUUGAGGAGAUUGUAGCCUUGUGCUAGGUUAAAGAAUAGGCACGUUUUAAAGUUCUCGAUACACAUUUUCAAAGUGCUUUUCAAAAAUUUGUAUCAAUUCAUCCUUCUACUAUAAGGGAAAAUCUGUUCUGGGUUGUUUUUCUGGUAUAUCUUCCUAUUAAGAACCUGUUCUCCCUCCUGCUUUGUGACUCACAUGGAGUUGCCACUGCAUGCUAUCAUCUCCAUCCCUUAGAGCAACCUAUUAGAGAACUUACUCUCUGGAGUCCCAAAAGAGAAACAACAGCAACAACUCAGCAAUUCAUCUGGGGUCAGCGUGUUACCCAGUCUGGGCCAUUGGAGAUUUUUUUAAAGGGAAGUUUCUCCUAUUUUCUUCAAAAUUCUGAGCUGUGAAGAGGACCACUAGAAAGUUCAAUCUAUUUAUGAUUUUUUAAAAAACUGUUAUUAUAUAUAUUUAAGUGUAUGUCAUGUUUCCACACAUAUAUACAUAGUGAAAUGAUCACUGUAAUCAAGCUAAUUAGAAUAUCCCCCAUCUCGCAUAGUCACCUUUGUGUGUGAAAAGGGUUCAGUGCUUCCCUCUCCACUCUUCAUCUCCCCUUUAAAAAAGCAGAGAUGAAUGGAGAGGGAAAGGUUGAACAAUGGUUAUGUGGUGGGACUGCUGGGAUUCACCUGAGAGUUAAAACCAGCUAGUUCUACCCGUAUGUUUUUCACUUAGAUAAGCCAACAAAUUAAUUUCUUUUCCUCUAUUCUUCUUGUCUUCUUUCCUGCCUCUUUACCUGUCUCCCUUCCUUCCUCUCUUCCCACUCUCUUUCUUUCCUUAUUUAAAUUGGUUUGAAUUGAGUUUCUGACACUAAUGGAGAGUCCUUAUUGUGCCUUCACGUUAUUUUUAUCAAACCAGAAAAUGUUAAUGACAUAAAACAAUUACUGUUUGGACAAGGAAAAUUGUAUUUCUUUCCUUGAAAUUUCUACACACAUACACAUUUGUGCUUGUUAGUGAGGCUAAGCAUUUUCCCCCUUAUUUGUGAAUUAUAUAUUCAAUGUUUUGAUCCAUUUAUCAAAUAAAUUCCUUAGUUUAAAAAAUAUUUGCAGGUGCGGUUAUUAUGGAAAGCAGCAUGAAGUUUCCUCUAAAUAUUAAAAAUAGAAUCACCACAUGACUCAGCAAUCCCUCCUCUCUAUAUAUUUUUAAAGGAAAUGAAAUCAGCACUUCAUGGAACUAUCUCCACUCCCGGCUGGGCGCAGUGGCUCACGCCUGUAAUCCCAGCACUUUGGAAGGCCAAGGC
rnacentral:lncRNA from 1 species